CUUCCCCAGCUCUGAACGAGCCCACCAUUGACUACGGAUUCCAGAGGCUACAGAAAGUCAUUCCCAGACACCCCGGAGACCCCGAGAGGCUGCCCAAGGAAGUGCUGCUGAAGCGGGCGGCCGACUUGGCAGAAGCCCUGUACGGAGUGCCCGGCAGUAACCAGGUAUGGCGCCUCCGCCCUCCCAGCGCCGCCGGGACCGGGGCUCCCCAGCACGCGGCGCCCGCGGCUGCCCCGGCCGUGCCCCGCUCUUGUCUUCGCAGGAGCUCCUCCUGAAGCGCGCGGCGGACGUGGCCGAGGCUCUGUACAGCACCCCCCGCGCACCCGGGCCGCUCGGACCCCUGGCCCCGAGCCACCCACACCCCGCCGUCGUGGGCAUCAACGCCUUCAGCAGCCCGCUGGCCAUCGCCGUCGGGGACGCCACCCCGGGGCCCGAGCCGGGCUACGCGCGCAGCUGCAGCAGCGCGUCCCCCCGCGGGUUCGCGCCCAGCCCCGGCUCGCAGCAGAGCGGCUACGGCAGCGGCCUCGGAGCUGGCCUGGGCGGCUACGGCGCGCCGGGCGUGGCCGGCCUCGGCGUGCCUGGGUCCCCCAGCUUCCUCAAUGGCUCCACCGCCACCUCGCCCUUCGCCAUCAUGCCCUCUAGCCCCCCGCUGGCGGCUGCCUCCU
rnacentral:sRNA from 1 species